UACGUAGGGGGCAAGCGUUGUCCGGAUUUAUUGGGCGUAAAGAGCGUGUAGGCGGCCAAACAGGUCAGCUGUGAAAACUCGAGGCUCAACCUCGAGACGUCGGUUGAAACCGUUUGGCUAGAGUCCGGAAGAGGAGAGUGGAAUUCCCGGUGUAGCGGUGAAAUGCGCAGAUAUCAGGAAGAACACCCGUGGCGAAGGCGGCUCUCUGGGACGGUACUGACGCUGAGACGCGAAAGCGUGGGGAGCGAACAGG
rnacentral:rRNA from 1 species